rnacentral:tRNA from 1 species
GGAGUGGUAGUUCAGAUUGGUUAGAAUACCGGCCUGUCACGCCGGGGGUCGCGGGUUCGAGUCCCGUCCACUCCGCCA